GACGAACGCUGGCGGCGUGCCUAAUACAUGCAAGUCGAACGAAGCUUUUUUAACUGGUGCUUGCACCGACUUAAACAACUGAGUGGCGAACGGGUGAGUAACACGUGGGUAACCUGCCCCAAAGCGGGGGAUAACAUUUGGAAACAGAUGCUAAUACCGCAUAACCACAGAAACCACAUGGUUUCUGUGUCAAAGAUGGUUUCGGCUAUCACUUUGGGAUGGACCCGCGGCGUAUUAGCUAGUUGGUAAGGUAAUGGCUUACCAAGGCAAUGUUACGUGGCCGAACUGAGAGGUUGAUCGGCCACAUUGGGACUGAGACACGGCCCAAACUCCUACGGGAGGCAGCAGUAGGGAAUCUUCCACAAUGGACGAAAGUCUGAUGGAGCAACGCCGCGUGAGUGAAGAAGGUUUUCGGAUCGUAAAACUCUGUUGUCAGAGAAGAACGUGUGCGAGAGUAACUGUUCGUGCAGUGACGGUAUCUGGCCAGAAAGCCACGGCUAACUACGUGCCAGCAGCCGCCGUAA
rnacentral:rRNA from 1 species